rnacentral:rRNA from 1 species
UACGGAGGGUGCAAGCGUUAUCCGGAUUCACUGGGUUUAAAGGGAGCGUAGGUGGGCUGGUAAGUCAGUGGUGAAAUCUCCGGGCUUAACUCGGAAACUGCCGUUGAUACUAUCAGUCUUGAAUAUUGUGGAGGUAAGCGGAAUAUGUCAUGUAGCGGUGAAAUGCUUAGAUAUGACAUAGAACACCAAUUGCGAAGGCAGCUGGCUACACAAAUAUUGACACUGAGGCACGAAAGCGUGGGGAUCAAACAGG